rnacentral:rRNA from 1 species
AGUGAACGCUGGUGGCGUGCCUAAUACCUGCAAGUCGAACGAAGUGGCGCACGGGUGUGUAAUAUAUAGUUAAUCUGCCCUACACAGAGGAACAACAGUUGGAAACGAUUGCUAAUACCUCAUAGUGUAGGAAGAGACUAUAUCGUAUCAGCUAGUUGGUAAGGUCAUGGCUUACCAAGGCUAUGACGCGUAACUGGUCUGAGAGGAUGAUCAGUCACAUUGGAACUGAGACACGGGCCGAACUCCUACGGGGGGCAGCAGUAAGGGAUAUGGAGACAUGGAGGAAACCCUGACGGAGCAACGCCGCGUGGGGGAUAAAGGCAUUAGGGUUGUAAACCGCUUUCAGCCAUGACGCGGUAGUGGCAGAGGAAGCACCGGCUGACUACGAGCCGGCAGCCGCGGUAAUAC